rnacentral:rRNA from 1 species
CGGAUUGGUGGGAGCGGGGACGGCUGAGUAGCGUAGGAACGUACCCCAAGUGAGGGAUAAGCACCAGAAAUGGUGUCGUAAUACCGCAUGUGCUCUAAGGAGUAAGGCUUCGGGCUUUGGGAACGGCCUGCGUUUGAUUAGCUUGUUGGUGAGGUAAUGGCUCACCAAGGCGACGAUCAAUAGCUGGUCUGAGAGGAUGAUCAGCCAGACUGGGACCUGAGAACACGGUCCCAGAACUUCCAUACGGGGAAGGCAGCGGUCAGGGAAUUUUCCACAAUGGGCGAAAGCCUGAUGGAGCAACGCCGCGUGCAGGAUGAAUGCCUUAGGGUUGUAAACUGGCUUUUAUAUGUGACGAUAAUGACCGGUAGCAUAUGAAUAAGGAUCGGCUAACUCCGUGCCAGCAGCCGCGGUCAUACGGAGGAUCCGAGCGUUAUCCGGAAUUACUGGGCGUAAAGAGUUGCGUAGGUGGCAGAGUAAGCAAGCCAGUGAAAUCGUGUGGUCAACCAUACACCCAUUGCUUGAACUGGCUCAGCUAGAGGAUGAGAGAGGUUAUUGGAAUUCCCAGUGUAGGAGUGAAAUCCGUAGAUUUGGGAGGAACACCGAUGGCGUAGGCAGAUAACUGGUCAUUCCUGACACUCAGGCACGAAAGCGUGGGGAGCAACGGGAUUAGAUACCCGGUAGUCCACGCCGUAACUAUGGGUUGCUAGCUGUCGUCGCAGGUAUCGACCCCUCUUAAGUAGCGAAGUAA